rnacentral:rRNA from 1 species
AAUGAACGUUGGCGGCGUGGAUUAGGCAUGCAAGUCGAGCGAGAAGCGUAGCAAUACGUGGACAGCGGCGAAAGGGAGAGGAAUACAUGGAUACCUACCCUCAGGUUCAGGAUAGCUAUGGGAAACUAUAGGUAAUACUGAAUAAUAUCUCCGGAUCAAAGGUGUGAUUCCACCUGAGGAGGGGUCCAUGUCCUAUUAGCUAGUUGGCGAGGUAACGGCUCACCAAGGCGAAGAUGGGUAUGGGAUGUGAGAGCAUGAUCCCACUCACUGGGACUGAGACACUGCCCAGACACCUACGGGUGGCUGCAGUCGAGAAUCUUCGGCAAUGGGGGCAACCCUGACCGAGCGACGCCGCGUGCGGGAUGAAGGCCU